CAACCGAGCUGAUCGUAGUUGCCUGAAAAUUUCUCCAUACGAUAGUCAAGUAGUCAACCAUCUUCUCCUCCCUUCCUCUCUGUCCUGCACCGAUUCCACCAUGAACGACAAACCAGACAAAAACCCAGAAGAAGAAGAAGCCCUCCGCCUCAAAACCCUAGCCGAGCAAAAAUACUCCUCCUCCAAUUUCAAAUCCGCCCUCAAAUACGCCAAGCGCGCCCACCGCCUCUCCCCCUCCCUCGAUGGCCUCUCCGAGCUCCUCACCGCCUUCCAAAUCCUCCGCGUCGCAGCCAGUCCCUCCUCCUCCACCACCACAACAACACUCGACUGGUACAAGAUCCUCCAGAUCGAGCCCUUCUCCCACACCAACGCCGUCAAGAAACAGUACAAGAAGCUCGCCCUUACCCUUCAUCCCGACAAGAACCCCUUCCCCGCCUCCGAGGAGGCAUUUAAGCUCGUCGCCGAGGCGUUUAGGGUUUUGUCGGAUAAGAUUCGGCGCAAGGAGUACGAUAUGAGGCUGCGAAUCGCGAUGCAGUCAGAAGCCACGGAGGGAGGUGGAGGAGGAGCAGGAGAGGUGGAAACUGCUGCGGCGGACGCGUUUUGGACCGCGUGUUCGACGUGUCGGCUGUUGCAUAAGUUUGAGAGGAAGUACUUGGGGCAUGAUUUGGUGUGUCCCAGUUGUAAGAAAAGCUUUAAGGCCGUGGAGGUUUCGGAUAUGGUUGAAGAAGAGGAUGAUGAUAGGGUUGGAAGUAGGUCUAGUGAUGGGGUUAGGGUUGGAAGUAGGUCUAGUGAUAGGGUUAGGGCGAGUGUAGAGAGGGUUGCAAGUGGGAAAUCGAAGCGGAAAAUGAGUAGCGUUGAGGAGGUAUUGGCGAGGUCAAGGCCAGAUGGGAUUGUGAGAAGUGUUGAGUUGAAUCGCAAUUUGGGUAGUGGUGGUGGGGUUGAAAGAUCGCAAAAUGUGGAUAAGAAAGAGGGAUGGGAAGCUGGGGUUGAGGUAAUGGAGAAAUCGAAGUCCGAGACGGCGGGAGAUGAAGAAGAGACCAUGACACUUGCGGAAAUGCAAGCUUUAGCGAGGCGGAAGGUGAAUGGGGAGAAGAAGAAAACGAGGUCAAAGGAAGAUGAGAGAGAAACAGAAAUAGAGAGCGAGAAGGUGAGAGAGAAGAGGGUGAGGCGUAGUACAUCUAAGGGCGGGCAUUUGGAAAAUGAGAGGCGGAGAAGUUUGAAGAGUGGAAAUGUAGAGAUGGAAAAACGUAGGAGUGCGUCGAAAAGUGGGGAUUUGGAGAUAAUGGCGGUGGAGGAUUCCGAUUUCUAUAAUUUUGAUAAAGACAGAAUGGAGAGGAGUUUUAAGAAAGGGCAAGUAUGGGCAAUUUAUGCUGACGAUGAUGGAAUGCCUAGGCAUUAUGGCUUGAUUGAUGAAGUUGUUUCAGCGAACCCUUUUGAGGUGUGGAUGAGUUGGUUAGAUCUUCAGACUAACGGAGAUGAGGGAUUGAUUUGUUGGGAGAAAAUGGGAAUUCAUAUUUCUUGUGGGAGGUUUAAAGUUGCGAGGAAGACUUUAGUUGAUUCUGUCAACAUUUUUUCUCACAUUGCGGAUGCAGAAAGAGCGGCGAGAGAAGUGUAUAGGAUUUAUCCAAAGAAGGGUUCGGUGUGGGCACUUUAUAAGGAUAAUGAUUUAGAAAAUGAAGGGAGGAGGAACCCUUCUUUGCAUAGAGAGAGAUGCUAUGACAUAGUUAUGUUUUUAACUAGUUACAGUGAGAUACAUGGGUUGAGCAUGGCUUACCUUGAGAAGGUUGAGGGGUUCAAGACAGUAUUUAAGAGGAAAGAGAUCGGUUGUCAUGCUAUCAGAUGGCUUGAGAAAGACGACGUCAGGUUGUUUUCGCAUCAGAUUCCGGCUAGGAAGCUUUCCGAGGAAGUGGCUGCGAAUCUUCCAAAAGACUGUUGGGAACUUGAUCCGGCCUCACUUCCUACUGACUUGCUUACCUUCACUUGGCACAAAUAGUUUAUGCCUUGUUGGUGAUAAACUGGCCCAUGAGUUAUGGUCUGAACGCUACUUGGCUGUGAAGAUAGAAGCCAUUAUAUAUUCUUGUGAUGAUGUAUGCCUAAAAAGUGAUAACGGAACUCAAGAUAGGACUUGUCGACAGUUUGAAGGCGAAGGCUCAUCUGAAUAUAGGAGGAAGAAAUUGUCUGAGGCUGUCCUCAGUUUGUGAAAUUCAUGUCAGGCAUGUUUUGGCUUCAUCUUUGUUUCAUAUCCCAUUUUUGAAUAUGGCAAACAAGAUCAUCUCGAUGUUUUACAUAUCUAAGGUGGAUUCCGUGCCAAUAUAACCGUAAAAGGGGUAGAUUUCGAGUGCUCGGGAGGAAGUGAAUUGCACUCGAUUCCUCGUUUAGCAAGAGAGUCGGCUGCAUCACAAUUACUUGCAAAAUUACGCAGCAUAUAUGGCCGUCCAAAGCCAUUAGGGUUUCUGCAGAAGCUGGCAAGCUGCAUGGGAUGGGAGGUAGAAAAGCUGCAAAAGCACCAGCACCUUGACAUCAUGUUCUUAGCCAGCUCCCAUGUAAAUUGAGAAGGGAAUGUAAAACAAACUUUGAUAAAACAAUAGCUUGAAGUAUAUGUUUUAUGGACUGCUGUUCGUUACCUA